CCAGUGGUGGUUCGGUGGUAGAACUUUCACCUUUCACGUGGGAAACCAGGGUUCGAUUCCCAUCCUGUGUA
rnacentral:tRNA from 1 species